AAGUGGGAAAAACCUUGCUGCCAGAGACGAUAUCCACACCAUUUUUGGCAUGUUGAAGUGAUUGGACCAUGGCAAUCAGAGCUGAUCUUGCAUCUCCUUCUUCAUACACGCUUGUCAGGUAAUUUUAGACUGAGUAGUACAUCAUGAUCACUUUCAGCAACAUCAUUCAUCACGCCUUUAAACCAUUCAAAGGAACCUUGCUCUCUGGUGACCCAGUAGAAAUAAGCUCUUCCUGGCCCAUUGCUCUUAAAGGUGCAGCCUAACUCAGCAUCAUGCGUGCUUUGCACAUCCUCAGUUUACUCCAUUGGAUUUUAUGUUGUUCAGGAGAUCCUUCAGUAUGCUGAUGAAAGGCGUUGCUCCAAUUCCAAGCCCGAUAAGCAAAAGAAUGUCAUAUUUCUUGUAAUUUUGAGCUGGUGCGCCGAAAGGACCAUCUAUAAAGACUUUGGGAAAGCUAAAUGAAGAGAACCAAACUCCCAUUAUGCCUGAACUAUUCUCCUUUUCUUUUUGUUUCUGUUUGCUCAACUGACCUUCCCAAAUAGGUUUCUAAGUUCUGUUGUCCAGUCACCUAAUGUACGGAUAUGAACACUCAAGUAGUCAUCUCCAGGUGCAGAAAGACGAUCAGAUGGUACCAUUCAAAAGGCGAAACAUCUGGGCAUUUUACAAACAUAUACAUCCCACUUUUGUACUUGAAACUUGAUGGUUUAUUCAUGUGAAUAGAGAGCACAUUUCCAGGGUAAAUUGCUGCCUGCAUGGCACAUUUGAUAGUCAAUUAAUGGUAUUCUUGUACACUUAGAAGCUAGAAUAAAUUGAAAAUACUCAUCGUGCAAUUCAUAAAUACCGUUCGAUUGUACCACUGCUUGGUGAGAAAUAUGAAGUAGGAGUGCAGCACCAAGAGGAUAUAUGCAAUCACCAGUAGGUGAUGGGCGUACCAAAAGGCAUUGAAACCAGCAAGGUGGUGCAGUGGUGAUGGAAGCUUCACAACGCUCCUCCUGAACGAAUGUGUCGCAAGUGUGAACGAGAAUGACAUUAUCAAGAUCAUGAGGAUGCCAGUCCACCCUGGAGUGCUUGCAACCAGCGAUGAGUAUGUUGGUUGAACAUAGUUGAAGUAAGGCCCCAGUGUGGCCUCGAACUUGUCCCUUGGACAUGAUACCAAUCUUGGGAAGUCGCAGGUUACAUGAGCAAGAGUAUGAGUAGCCGCUCCAAUUGCAAUCGUCAGUGCGAUAACCUGAUAUGUUUAUGUUAUCAUCAAAUGGUACGACUUUGCUGAGUGCUGUUGAUCGGAGCCUUGUUAGUGUGUUUCGGCACACCGGGAGGAGUAUAACGGCCAUGUUCAGCUUGAGUGUUUCGGCAGCACCCUUUGCUAUGCAGACACAGUAGCCCAUCACCUGAAAUGCAUCCCGCCUACUGUACUGCACAAACUUGUACAUGAAUAAUGCAAUAUUGAGGAUCGCCCACAAGGAGAGCACCCAUAUCCUCUUCCAAUUCUCAUGGAUGAAGUCAACAGUCUUGUUGAAACGCCUCUGCAUUGGACUCCGGUGACUGGAAGGGACCAUUGUCCUUGCAAGGCUUGCUGAAGCCAGCUUCACCUUCUCUGGAGGCCCUUGGGCUGUCACCAUACCACGGAGUAGCAUAAUUUCAUGUCUUGGUACCUCAAUGUAACCGCGAUGAUCAGGAUCCAGCUCUUCCAUGAUCAGUGAGGCGUAGGUUGCAGCAUGGCUUUUCAACUUGGCAAGUUUGUUUGCUGCGGCACUCAACACAAUAACCUGCAUAUGGAAAGAGAAAGGUAAAUUCUUAUUGAGAUCAUUUCCACAAGCUUUAAUAUUCGUAGUCGUGAAUCAAAGUUCUGAUCAGUCAACUCCUCCCAAAAUUCUUUCAGCUGUUCCUUUGUUAUCCCAUCUUCUGGUUUGAUGCUCCUCCUUCUCGCCAAUGCCACAAACACCUCGCUUGCAAACUCCUUAGAAUCCGCCAUACC
rnacentral:sRNA from 1 species